UGGGAGAUGAUCCUAUGCUAUUUCACUGA
rnacentral:piRNA from 1 species